rnacentral:pre_miRNA from 1 species
GAUGGAUCAAAUCCAAUCCAUUAACAAAUUUUUUUGUUUGAUAGAUGGAUUUUGUAGUGGAUGGAUUGGAUA